GUCAAGGAUUUGGGUGCCCAAAGAGAGGGUAAGGGAAGACACUAUUAGAUUUGACGAGGCGAUAGUAUUUGUCAAUGGUUUUCCACCAAGAGGCAACAGAGGUAUGAACUGCUUUGUGUUUGGGAGAUGAUAGAGAAGUGAUAAAAUCUGUAACAACUGCCCAUUAAGAAAGCUUGAAUUUGCCAUACCAUAUUAGGUUGACGGAGAUUUUGCCAUUAACAAGUGGAUCAUUGUAAUACUGAAAUAGCAGAUGUGGCUGGUUAGGGGAUGACUCACCGAGUCUCCUUGCUGAAGCACUGAAAUCAAUGCUAGAGACUAGCAGAACAAGGAAAAGUAGAAUAUGGGAGGAAACAAAAGAGGCCAUUAUCAUAACAGAGGUGAUGAUUUUUUCUUUUUUUUUAUCAGAAAGAUGUUACUAUCAUUCAUGAAUGAAGCAAAUACAUAACAUUUUUAUCCAACAGAUCCACUUAUGAAGCAGGGGGAGUCCACCCCACUGCAAGACAGCCCAAAUGUACCCUCCUACCUAUCCAAUCUGCUCUACUUACAAAAGUGCAAGAGAUAGAAGGAUACGCUACCAAUAAAUCUUUUAUAUCAUGAAUGAAAGCCUCUAAUUCCCAAGGGAUGGACAUUAAAGGGGAAGAAACAAGCUCAAUCAGCUUUGAACAAUCAGAUUCAGUCGCACAUGCCCAAAACCCUCUACACUGAAUAGCGGCUCGUAAAGCAAUUCCUUCUGCCAAGAGAGGAAAGCUAGCAUAAAAGAAAGAGGCCCCACCAUCCAGCGACCUUCCUUGUGAAUCCCUUAGAAUAAUGCCAUAACCAACAGAGGAAGAGGAGGCAUCAAAACAAGCAUCCACAUUAGCUUUGAAAGAACCAACGGCCGGGGGGUUCCAAGGAGAACUAUCUACCGCACCUGAUAGAUUAAGCCUAGAAUGGCUUUGUGGAGUUACCAAAAGCUGUAACUCAACAACAUUCUGAGCCUUCCUAAUUGAAGAAAUCGGAUCAAGAGAAAUAUAUUCAAAAAUUGCAGCUUUACAAGACUUCCAUAUUUGCCAGUACAAACAAGCAGCUAAACACGGUACCUCCUUAUCAUGAUAAGACCAGGACAAUAAGGAAAGCCACCAAUUAACAAAAAAAGAGAAGAUGUUCCAAAGUUUCCACAUGUUUUAAGCAUAUAUUGCAAACAGAAAAGGGACUACACUUUCGAUGGAACAAAUUGGCGUUAGUAGCUAGAGAGUUGGUACAUGCUCUCCAUAAAAAGGAACAGAUCUUAGGAGGAACACUUAACUGCCAGAAUGACUUUAGAGGUGAUAACCUUAGGGAUUUAGGAACGAAGGAGAGGAUAAG
rnacentral:misc_RNA from 1 species